UCAAGAACAUAUCUGUUGAUGUUUUCGAAUGCAUUAGACGAACGUCUUUUACUUUGAAUACAUCGCGCGUGAAGACGCCCUAACAGUGCGCUGCCACACCUGUCCAGCUACUGAACUACGCCACACACGCACGUGUUAGCUUCUUGUGGACUUAAACCGUGAUGAAGCCAGAACAGCGGGACAAGCUGAAUGAGUUAUGGAGCCGGGGGUUGAUGAAAAUCGACCGCCGUUGUCCCAGGCUGUCCGGUCUGCUUGACGAGGCAGCGGCGGUGGGGUUGCCAUUCGCCAAGGUUAAAGAUUUCGUACUUCGGCGAAGGAAGGCCAUGGGCCUUAUGCACUGGGAGCAGGAAGACAUUGACUUGGAGGUAGAGCUGGCC